UACAGUCAUAUCAUGUUGAAACACCUGGUCUCAUGUGAUCACCAAUGUUAAACAACACUGAGCCUGCACAGUACUUAGAUGGGUGAUUGCUUGGA